rnacentral:rRNA from 1 species
AUUGAACGCUGGCGGCAUGCCUUACACAUGCAAGUCGAACGGUAACAGGUCUUCGGAUGCUGACGAGUGGCGAACGGGUGAGUAAUACAUCGGAACGUGCCCGAUCGUGGGGGAUAACGGAGCGAAAGCUUUGCUAAUACCGCAUACGAUCUACGGAUGAAAGCAGGGGACCGCAAGGCCUUGCGCGGACGGAGCGGCCGAUGGCAGAUUAGGUAGUUGGUGGGAUAAAAGCUUACCAAGCCGACGAUCUGUAGCUGGUCUGAGAGGACGACCGCCCACACUGGGACGGAGACACGGCCCAGACUCCUACGGGAGGCAACAGUGGGGAAUUUUGGACAAUGGGCGAAAGCCUGAUCCAGCCAUGCCGCGUGCAGGAUGAAGGCCUUCGGGUUGUAAACUGCUUUUGUACGGAACGAAAAGACUCCUUCUAAUAAAGGGGGUCCAUGACGGUACCGUAAGAAUAAGCACCGGCUAACUACGUGCCAGCAGCCGCCGUAAAAC